GAAAAUAUAUUUAGAUUUUAUCAAGUUUAUUUACUAUUUAUUUUUUAUUAUAUAGUUAUUUUCUUUAUUUUAAUUAUAAAUAUAUAAUAAAUAAACUUGAUAAAUCUGAAUAUAUUACCAUAAAUAUCAGAAGUCAUGAUCUUAUACUUAGUUCUGGUAACAUUCAAAAAUAAUAUGUAAACCUCUAUAAAUAAUAUAUUUACCCCUUCAACUUAUAUUUACAGAUACAUAUAACUUGACUUGAGUGAUCAAUUUGACACCGUUUUGAGUUCAGUGACCAACUUGAUAUUUUGAGCCCACUCUAUAAUAAAAAAAUUAAAAAAUAAUAGAGCUCGAGCUCGGCUCGAUAAAACAUCCAAAUAGCUCGACCUUUUUCUACAAUACGAUCACCCCAUAGGUUUAAAAAGACUGGUUUAGAUAGCAGUGCAAUACUUUUUCUUUAUGAAACCUUUGCACUCUUCUGAGAAUAUGAGAACUGACUUGGAAUUGUAACAUGCAAAGGUGUUUGUAGUAAGCAAAUAGGACAUGAAAUUGCAACUCGUAAGUGAUAAAAGUUUUUUUUUUUUUUUAAACACGUAAGUGAUAAAAGUUGAUUAUAUGCGAGAUGCAUCUUCCAUAUUUCCCGCCUAAAAUUUUCUCUUGUCAGGAUUUGCCCACUUAAAUUUUAGCAUAGAGAACCUAUUUUACAAAAUUUAAGCGAACAUUUUUAUUUUUUUCAGAAAAGAAGCUAAUCCAAUAUAUUUCUCUUAACCAUGGUUUUUUGUUAAUGAUCUUAACGCCGAUUUUUUUUCAUUAUUACAUUAAAAAUUAGAUUAAAAUUUUAUAAUAUAAAAUAAUAUCUAAACAUAAAGAAUUCAAUAUACAAAAUUUGUUGAUUAUUAAUCGAACGAGAGCUUCCACAAUACUUACCAAUAAAUCCAUCUUAUUUCCAAAUUUCGAUACUAUUUAAGUAAUCCAAUCAUGUAAAUUUUAAUAUAUUUUAUAUGAGAUCAAUACUUAUAUCUUAUUGAUAUAAUACUACAUAUGAAUUCCUGUUGAAUUUAAAACUAAAUUUUACUAUUAUCACAAUUUAUAAUUUUCUUAUAAUUUCAACUACAUAUAGAUUUGUUAUUUCUUCAUAUUAAUAUUUUCAUUAUUAAGCGCAUUCAUCGUUAGAAAAUUUAAUUUUAAUAUUAUAUCAAUAUAAUUUUUGUAUAUAAAUAACCUUACAAACUUAUCACUGUGCUUUCUCUCCCUAGAACAUUCUUCUCUCUAUUCUCUUUGUUUAGUAGUUUUACCUUUUCCAAUUUGAAUUCUAAUUCCAAAAUCUAAACACAACUAGAACAUUCCAGAAAUAAAACCCUCUAGCCCCUCAGUCCCUCACUAUAAAAACACUUAUCUUCAUCUUCCCCACGAAAUCAAUUAAAAUCCAAAUAAUAAACCACGCUCGGCAACAAUUUUACUGAUUAAUCAUCGAUGGCUGAUGAAGCUAAAGCCAAAGGCAACGCCGCUUUCGCCGCCGGCAACUAUUCUGACGCGAUCAAGCACUUCUCCGACGCGAUCACCUUGUCUCCGGCCAAUCAUGUUCUCUACUCCAACCGAUCGGCUGCUUACGCUUCGAUUAACAAUUUCUCCGAAGCUUUAGUGGAUGCGAAAAAAACGGUGGAGAUCAAACCGGACUGGGCUAAGGGAUACUCUCGGCUCGGCUCGGCUCAUCUCGGACUCCACAAUUAUGUCGAAGCUAUCGAGGCGUACAAGAAAGGUCUUGAAUUGGAUCCGAAUAAUGAGGCUUUGAAAUCCGGGUUAUCCGACGCGGAGACCCGGGUUAGGACCCGACCCGGUUUUGGCAAUCCGACCCGGCCCGGGGCGAGUCCGUUCGGGGACGCGUUCGGGCCGGAGAUGUGGGCGAAAUUGACGGCGGAUCCGACGACGAGAGCGUUCCUCCAGCAGCCUGAUUUCGUGAACAUGAUGAAAGAGCUUCAGAAGAACCCGAGCAAUUUGAAUUUGUACUUGAAGGAUCCCAGGGUUAUGCAAGCGCUAGGAGUUUUGCUUAAUAUCAAGCUUUCGACACGAGGAAGUGAUGAUAAGGGUGUAGAGAUGUAUGACGUAUCCUCGGAGAGGAAGAGGCCUGCGGAGGAGGAACCGGUGAAUGUGAAGGAGAAGAAGCGCGAGGCGGAGCCAAUGCAGGAGGAGGUGGAGGUUUCAGAGGAGGAGAGGGAGAAAAAGGAGAGGAAGGAGAAGGCGCGGAAGGCGAAAGAGGAGGGUAAUGUGGCGUAUAAGAAGAAGGAUUUCGAGACGGCGAUUAGGUGUUAUAGUGAGGCGAUUGAGUUGGAUGAUGAGGAUAUUUCGUUUGUUACUAAUAGGGCUGCGGUUUAUCUGGAGAUGGGGAAGGUAUGUUGCUAAUGCUUCAAUCUUUAUUUAUACAUUAUGUAUUAAAAAUUGUACAGCAUGUUUUUGUUGAAUGUGUUUUGGUGCUAUCCUUUACUUGAUAUUGAGAUAAUUCAAGUUAAUAUAAGUUCCACAGGUUAAUUUGAUGUUUAUUUUGCGAUUGUGAUGCCUGUUGUCUUUAGCGUAGGAUUAUUUUCUCUUCUGUUGUGUUCAUGUAUGCAGAGGUGUAAUUUAGGAUAAUGGUAAAAGUAGCUGAAUUUUAAAAGGUUAGGAAUGUUGGGGAAGAAUUAUAAUUUAGCAUGACUUUUACAGGGACCAUCCUGAUAUACAAGUUUUUCUUUGUAGCUAGAUUACGACAUAACAUAUGAGUAGGUCAUUUGCAAAAGAAGUUGAUGCUUUUGAUCGCUUUACUACAUAAUGAAAAUUUUGGAUCCAAUUCUUUUGUCUUAUAUAUAUGAUUAAGUUGUGCAUUUUAUUUUUGUUUGAUUAUUGUCUACUAUUAUAUUAUAUAUAUAUUUAUAUGCUAUAUAUCUUAUUUUUCAAUAUGACAUAUUCAUUUAUGUGCUGAUAUUAGAGCAUAUAUUUCACUUUACAAUUAAGAUCUGUAUCUAACUAGUUGGUAACUAAUGCCACCAGUUUGAGGAGUGCAUUAAAGAUUGUGACACUGCUGUUGAAAGGGGAAGAGAACUCAGAUCAGACUUCAAGAUGGUUGCAAAGGCUUUGACAAGGAAAGGAACUGCCUUGGUGAAAAUGGCUAAAUGCUCCAAGGACUACGAACCUGCUAUUGAGACAUUUCAGAAAGCUUUGACAGAGCAUCGUAACCCAGAUACUCUAAAAAAACUUAAUGAUGCUGAGAAAGCAAAGAAAGAUCUAGAGCAACAGGAGUACUUUGAUCCGAAAAUAGCAGACGAGGAGCGUGAGAAAGGUACUAUUAUAUUUCUGUUUACCGUGGGGUUACUCACAGUAUACUACUUUUAAUUAUGAUCUGUUGCAUGUGGUUAACGGAUUACAUGUUUUACCAGGCAACGAAUUUUUCAAACAGCAGAAGUAUCCUGAAGCAAUUAAGCAGUACACAGAAUCACUGAGAAGAAAUCCAAAGGAUCACAAGGUUUGUCAUAACGAAUUCCAUUAUUACUCUUGUUCAUGAGUUAUGGAGUAUGUGAAAUAAUUUUGAUGUAUGUUUGACCCCAACAUGUUACUGAUUUGUGCAGGCUUACAGUAACAGAGCAGCUUGCUAUACAAAACUUGGCGCACUGCCUGAGGGAUUGAAGGAUGCAGAAAAGUGUAUUGAGCUUGAUCCCACAUUUGCCAAGGGAUAUACCAGAAAAGGUGCUGCACAGUUUCUCAUGAAAGAUUAUGAUAAAGCUUUGGAAACAUAUCAAGCAGGGUUGAAACACGAUCCACACAACCAAGAAUUGUUGGAUGGUGUUAAGAGGUAUAUUAUCGUAUUUGGCUAUUGAUGAAAGUGCAUCAUCAUUUUUUAACUGUAUUGAACAUUUACUGAUUGCUGCAUCAAUUGUUUCCCAGGUGUGUCGCUCAAAUUAAUAAGGCCAGCCGCGGUGAUUUAACUCCUGAGGAAUUGAAGGAGCGGCAGGUAUAUGCCUAAUUUUGUUAUGUUACACAGAUUGUGCAUGUCUGUUUUUUAUAAAUUAGGAAUCUCAUGUCAAUAUUUAAAAAUUGGGUUAAUAAUCAAGUGAGUCACCAAAUUGGGCUUGAUAUAUCAAGUUGGUCACCGAACUCAAAACGGUCUCAAAUUGGUCACUCAAGUUAGUUAUAUGUAUCUGUAAAUAUGAAUUCAAAGAGUAAAGAUAUUAUUUAUAGAGGUUUAAAUAUUAUUUUUGAAUGUUACCACAACUAAAUACAAGAUUAUGACUUCUCGUAUUUAUGAAAAUAUAUUUAGAUUUUAUCAAGUUUAUUUACUAUUUAUUUUUUAUUAUAUAGUUAUUUUCUUUAUUUUAAUUAUAAAUAUAUAAUAAAUAAACUUGAUAAAUCUGAAUAUAUUACCAUAAAUAUCAGAAGUCAUGAUCUUAUACUUAGUUCUGGUAACAUUCAAAAAUAAUAUGUAAACCUCUAUAAAUAAUAUAUUUACCCCUUCAACUUAUAUUUACAGAUACAUAUAACUUGACUUGAGUGAUCAAUUUGACACCGUUUUGAGUUCAGUGACCAACUUGAUAUUUUGAGCCCACUCUAGUGACUCACUUGAUUAUUAACCCUUUAAAAAUUUGUGCAGGCC
rnacentral:lncRNA from 1 species